GAGUAGUNNUGUAAGCUAAGUUUAAGCUGUUGGGUUCAUACCUCAAAUAUACUUUGUGUCAUUAUUA
rnacentral:tRNA from 1 species